rnacentral:rRNA from 1 species
GAUGAACGCUAGCUACAGGCUUAACACAUGCAAGUCGAGGGGCAGCAUUUUAGUUUGCUUGCAAACUAAAGAUGGCGACCGGCGCACGGGUGAGUAACACGUAUCCAACCUGCCGAUAACUCGGGGAUAGCCUUUCGAAAGAAAGAUUAAUAUCCGAUAGUAUAUUAAAACCGCAUGGUUUUACUAUUAAAGAAUUUCGGUUAUCGAUGGGGAUGCGUUCCAUUAGUUUGUUGGCGGGGUAACGGCCCACCAAGACUACGAUGGAUAGGGGUUCUGAGAGGAAGGUCCCCCACAUUGGAACUGAGACACGGUCCAAACUCCUACGGGAGGCAGCAGUGAGGAAUAUUGGUCAAUGGACGAGAGUCUGAACCAGCCAAGUAGCGUGAAGGAUGACUGCCCUAUGGGUUGUAAACUUCUUUUAUAUGGGAAUAAAGUAUUCCACGUGUGGAAUUUUGUAUGUACCAUAUGAAUAAGGAUCGGCUAACUCCGUGCCAGCAGCCGCGGUAAUACGGAGGAUCCGAGCGUUAUCCGGAUUUAUUGGGUUUAAAGGGAGCGUAGGUGGAUUGUUAAGUCAGUUGUGAAAGUUUGCGGCUCAACCGUAAAAUUGCAGUUGAAACUGGCAGUCUUGAGUACAGUAGAGGUGGGCGGAAUUCGUGGUGUAGCGGUGAAAUGCUUAGAUAUCACGAAGAACUCCGAUUGCGAAGGCAGCUCACUAGACUGCAACUGACACUGAUGCUCGAAAGUGUGGGUAUCAAACAGGAUUAGAUACCCUGGUAGUCCACACAGUAAACGAUGAAUACUCGCUGUUUGCGAUAUACAGUAAGCGGCCAAGCGAAAGCAUUAAGUAUUCCACCUGGGGAGUACGCCGGCAACGGUGAAACUCAAAGGAAUUGACGGGGGCCCGCACAAGCGGAGGAACAUGUGGUUUAAUUCGAUGAUGCGCGAGGAACCUUACCCGGGCUUAAAUUGCAUUUGAAUAAUCUGGAAACAGGUUAGCCGCAAGGCAAAUGUGAAGGUGCUGCAUGGUUGUCGUCAGCUCGUGCCGUGAGGUGUCGGCUUAAGUGCCAUAACGAGCGCAACCCUUAUCUUUAGUUACUAACAGGUGAUGCUGAGGACUCUAGAGAGACUGCCGUCGUAAGAUGUGAGGAAGGUGGGGAUGACGUCAAAUCAGCACGGCCCUUACGUCCGGGGCUACACACGUGUUACAAUGGGGGGUACAGAAGGCAGCUACCUGGCGACAGGAUGCUAAUCCCAAAAACCUCUCUCAGUUCGGAUCGAAGUCUGCAACCCGACUUCGUGAAGCUGGAUUCGCUAGUAAUCGCGCAUCAGCCAUGGCGCGGUGAAUACGUUCCCGGGCCUUGUACACACCGCCCGUCAAGCCAUGAAAGCCGGGGGUACCUGAAGUACGUAACCGCAAGGAGCGUCCUAGGGUAAAACUGGUAAUUGGGGCUAAGUC